CUCAGCUCCGCCACCACCUCGAACACGUCCGAUUCCACGGCGAAAGCGUCGGGGUCGUACUCGUAGGAGUAGUAGGACAGCAUGGAAUUAACUGAGGUGCUGAAGUUCAGAUCCACCACCCUGAGGGCUACACACAGCAAGAUAAAAGUGUCAUGCUGAGGGCAGAUGGCACAGGGAACCCACUCUGCACCCUGAAAAUCUCUCCUCUGACCAGGCACCUCAGGGGCCUGGUGGUGGCUGUUAUUACUCAGCAGUCCAUGGCUGCAGACAGUCCUUUUAUGAGGGCACGGAGACGCCGGCGCCACCGGGAACUGCUCAGCUCAGCUAAAGCUGCAUUUUUUCUGGAAUAAUUUCAUAUCUGAUCCCCUGAAAGGAUGCAAUUGCUUCUCAGGGAUUAAUACAAAAAUUUCUGUGGCUUCAGGGACACCCCAGAAGACAUCUGACAGCAGCUCCUGAUGUGGAUUGUAAACCUCUCCAGAGGGCUUUUUCCUCCAAGAAAAUGCAAUGGUGUUUCAAUUAUAAAUCAACAAAGUCCAGUGAAAUCCAAGAGAAGAUAAAGCAAUGUGCAACUCCUCCUUGAAUUAUGAUAUCAAACUGAACUUCACAACGGAUCUAUUUUAAAAUUCUUUCUUCAGAUCCCUUCCCCUCCCAAUAUAAUGAGAUAAAGUUAUUAACAGAAGAGGUCUUUUAGAAGCAAAAUAUUUUUUAGCUCUUUACUAGCUCUCGAGGAUGCAAAACUUUUACACCUCUUCAGUUAAAUAAUCUUUAAAAAAAAAUCUUUGCAGCAUAAGAGCCCCACCAGUGAAUGCAAUGUUCUACAAAAUGUAAUGAGUUGUAAUGAAUGUAAUGCUCCCACAAAUAUAAAGCAAAGCUCAAGAUUUCAGUUCAUCUGCCCUGAAGGGCUGGCUGGGCACGAGGCACAUUCUGUCCACCUCAGCUUGGCUGCAAGAAACACGAUGUUCUCCCAGAGAGAAGGGGGGAAAAAAAAAGGGCAAAAAAUUCCAAGACACAGAGCCUCCAAAGAAAUGGGAUCCAGAUGUUGGAGAUAACACAGCCCACUAAGCAGCCAUAAACAGCUCCUGUUAGAGCACAUUUGCACCUCAACUUUUCCAAAGGGGCUCAGUUAAUUACUGUGCACUGGCUCAGGAAAACCUUGGCUUGGCCUGGGUUGGGUUUGCUCAGAACGGCUGUUCCCUCAUUUCAGAGAGAGAUUUUUUGACAAGUGAAAUCUCUUCCUCCCCCUUCCC